AUUGAACGCUGGCGGCAGGCUUGACACAUGCAAGUCGAGCGGAGAUGAGGUGCUUGCACCUUAUCUUAGCGGCGGACGGGUGAGUAAUGCUUAGGAAUCUGCCUAUUAGUGGGGGACAACAUUCCGAAAGGAAUGCUAAUACCGCAUACGUCCCACGGGAGAAAGCAGGGGAUCUUCGGACCUUGCGCUAAUAGAUGAGCCUAAGUCGGAUUAGCUAGUUGGUGGGGUAAAGGCCUACCAAGGCGACGAUCUGUAGCGGGUCUGGGAGGAUGAUCCGCCACACUGGGAGUGAAACACGGCCCAUACGCCUACGGGAGGCAGCAGUGGGGAAUAUUGGACAAUGGGGGGAACCCUGAUCCAGCCAUGCCGCGUGUGUGAAGAAGGCCUUAUGGUUGUAAAGCACUUUAAGCGAGGAGGAGGCUACUGAGACUAAUACUCUUGGAUAGUGGACGUUACUCGCAGAAUAAGCACCGGCUAACUCUGUGCCAGCCGCCGCAGUAACAC
rnacentral:rRNA from 1 species